UGCAAGUCGAGCGAAUGGAUUAAGAGCUUGCUCUUAUGAAGUUAGCGGCGGACGGGUGAGUAACACGUGGGUAACCUACCCAUAAGACUGGGAUAACUCCGGGAAACCGGGGCUAAUACCGGAUAAUAUUUUGAACUGCAUAGUUCGAAAUUGAAAGGCGGCUUCGGCUGUCACUUAUGGAUGGACCCGCGUCGCAUUAGCUAGUUGGUGAGGUAACGGCUCACCAAGGCGACGAUGCGUAGCCGACCUGAGAGGGUGAUCGGCCACACUGGGACUGAGACACGGCCCAGACUCCUACGGGAGGCAGCAGUAGGGAAUCUUCCGCAAUGGACGAAAGUCUGACGGAGCAACGCCGCGUGAGUGAUGAAGGCUUUCGGGUCGUAAAACUCUGUUGUUAGGGAAGAACAAGUGCUAGUUGAAUAAGCUGGCACCUUGACGGUACCUAACCAGAAAGCCACGGCUAACUACGUGCCAGCAGCCGCGGNAAUACGUAGGUGGCAAGCGUUAUCCGGAAUUAUUGGGCGUAAAGCGCGCGCAGGUGGUUUCUUAAGUCUGAUGUGAAAGCCCACGGCUCAACCGUGGAGGGUCAUUGGAAACUGGGAGACUUGAGUGCAGAAGAGGAAAGUGGAAUUUCCAUG
rnacentral:rRNA from 1 species